AACGAACGCUGGCGGCGUGGAUAAGACAUGCAAGUCGAGCGGGACAGACCGAGUAGCAAUAUUUGGAAUGUUCAGUGGCGAACGGGUGCGUAACACGUGGAUAACAUUCCGGAAAGCGGGGAAUAGCCCAGGGAAACUUGGAUUAAUACCGCAUGUGGCCGCAAGGCUAAAGACGGGGACCGCAAGGCCUGUCACUUUCCGAUUGGUCCGCGGCCUAUCAGCCAGUUGGCGGGGUAAUGGCCCACCAAGGCUACGACGGGUAGCUGGUCUUAGAGGACGAACAGCCAGACUGGAACUGAGACACGGUCCAGACACCUACGGGUGGCAGCAGUCGAGAAUCUUUCACAAUGGGGGCAACCCUGAUGGAGCGACGCCGCGUGGAGGAUAAGGUCUUCGGAUUGUAAACUCCUGUCAUGCGAGAACAAGGUACUCAGGCUAAUAACCUGAUUGUUUGAUGGUACCGCAAGAGGAAGAGACGGCUAACUCUGUGCCAGCAGCCGCCGUAACAC
rnacentral:rRNA from 1 species